UUUUUUUUUUUACCUAGUAUUUUUUUUUUUUCCUUGGGGAGGGGAGGGGAGGGGGGAAACAGAAUGAAAGAACUAUUCAGCUACCAUGUAAACGUAUAAUGAUUUGUAUACAUACUUCUGUAUUGUAUCCUUCCACACCCUAUAAAUUAUCGAGUAAGGUGUGUUGAAUACACUCUUCUACAAACCAUGUCUGUGCAACAACUAGCAUCUUGAAAGAAAAGCUCCCGUGUAAAACACUGCACAAGAUCUUCCUCCAAACUCUUGCAAAGCAUCUCCAACAAACAAAAGAAGCAAUAAAUUUGGAAAACUGU
rnacentral:misc_RNA from 1 species